rnacentral:rRNA from 1 species
CGGGAAUUCGAUUAGAGUUUGAUCAUGGCUCAGAUUGAACGCUGGCGGCAUGCCUUACACAUGCAAGUCGAACGGCAGCAUGAUCUAGCUUGCUAGAUUGAUGGCGAGUGGCGAACGGGUGAGUAAUACAUCGGAACGUGCCCUGUAGUGGGGGAUAACUAGUCGAAAGAUUAGCUAAUACCGCAUACGACCUGAGGGUGAAAGUGGGGGACCGCAAGGCCUCAUGCUAUAGGAGCGGCCGAUGUCUGAUUAGCUAGUUGGUGGGGUAAAGGCCCACCAAGGCGACGAUCAGUAGCUGGUCUGAGAGGACGAUCAGCCACACUGGGACUGAGACACGGCCCAGACUCCUGCGGGAGGCAGCAGUGGGGAAUUUUGGACAAUGGGGGCAACCCUGAUCCAGCAAUGCCGCGUGUGUGAAGAAGGCCUUCGGGUUGUAAAGCACUUUUGUCCGGAAAGAAAUCGCACUUACUAAUAUUAGGUGUGGAUGACGGUACCGGAAGAAUAAGGACCGGCUAACUACGUGCCAGCAGCCGCGGUAAUACGUAGGGUCCAAGCGUUAAUCGGAAUUACUGGGCGUAAAGCGUGCGCAGGCGGUUGUGCAAGACCGAUGUGAAAUCCCCGGGCUUAACCUGGGAAUUGCAUUGGUGACUGCACGGCUAGAGUGUGUCAGAGGGGGGUAGAAUUCCACGUGUAGCAGUGAAAUGCGUAGAGAUGUGGAGGAAUACCGAUGGCGAAGGCAGCCCCCUGGGAUAACACUGACGCUCAUGCACGAAAGCGUGGGGAGCAAACAGGAUUAGAUACCCUGGUAGUCCACGCCCUAAACGAUGUCAACUAGUUGUUGGGGAUUCAUUUCCUUAGUAACGUAGCUAACGCGUGAAGUUGACCGCCUGGGGAGUACGGUCGCAAGAUUAAAACUCAAAGGAAUUGACGGGGACCCGCACAAGCGGUGGAUGAUGUGGAUUAAUUCGAUGCAACGCGAAAAACCUUACCUACCCUUGACAUGCCACUAACGAAGCAGAGAUGCAUUAGGUGCUCGAAAGAGAAAGUGGACACAGGUGCUGCAUGGCUGUCGUCAGCUCGUGUCGUGAGAUGUUGGGUUAAGUCCCGCAACGAGCGCAACCCUUGUCUCUAGUUGCUACGAAAGGGCACUCUAGAGAGACUGCCGGUGACAAACCGGAGGAAGGUGGGGAUGACGUCAAGUCCUCAUGGCCCUUAUGGGUAGGGCUUCACACGUCAUACAAUGGUGCAUACAGAGGGUUGCCAAGCCGCGAGGUGGAGCUAAUCCCAGAAAAUGCAUCGUAGUCCGGAUCGUAGUCUGCAACUCGACUACGUGAAGCUGGAAUCGCUAGUAAUCGCGGAUCAGCAUGCGGCGGUGAA